CCCCUAUCAGAAUCAUACCUGGAGAGUUUUCAGUACUCUACCAGUCUCGGCUAUGGGAGGGAGAGUCAAGCAGAGGCAGAGGCAUACUCAUUCCAUUCCUAGCUUGGACAGUGGCUAGCGAGGGGAAGGCAAUCUGCUACAAGU